ensembl:lncRNA
CUCAUGGAGGACAUAUGGGAAUGUAAAUCAGCAGCCAAAUGGACCAUCUCGCUAUUCAUUUAAAUAUUGCCAUUCUCCCCUCAGUUGUUCAUUUGGCUGAUUCCCCUUGACCCCCAAGGACAAACCACACAAAUAUGUCAACCUGACCUUAGAAUGGCUGACCUCACCUUCACUCCUUCCUGAAAGAAAGCAACCUGGCCCUGCAUUUGUACUUCAGACCACAGUCAUCUCUGCCUGGAAUGCACAAUCAAUCCUGCCACAACAUUAAUUCCCUUACUACAUUUUGAUUUGAAUUGAAUUAUAAUGGUUGUGAAUUUUGCAGAGUAAAACAUUUUUUUUUUUUUUUUUUUUUUUUUUUUUUUUUUUUUCACAUUUUAAUCCCUAAAAUCCAAAUCGGAUUUUCAGAUAUUACAAUUUCUUCCUUUUAAAAAAAAUAUUUUUUGUUUGUUUGUUUUCUUUUGUUUUUGUUUGUUUGUUUUUUUGUUGUUGUAACAAACCUGUUUUGUUAAAUAUUAUAUAUUCAAUUGUUAUAAAUUAAUAUUAUAUGUUGAAUUGAAUUCCACAUGAUAGAUUUUUGUCACUGCUUUCAGGAAGCAAUCCUGGGACAUCCUGCAUGCCCUGGAUCUCACAUAAACAUGCUGCUGGUGAUCCCUGACCUCCUAACCCUCACUCCUGACCUCGGAGAGUCUUUCCCACGCCACACCCUUUUGUGUGAAAUUUGCCAUGGCAACACAGUGGUCAGUGGUAAUAUAUGCGCUGUCCUGCUAAAGGAACAUUUCAUAAAGGAAGUGAUUUGACUUAGAGUCACUAACCCCAACGAGUCAACACACUAGAGGAGCUUGGGAAUACAGUUAAGAAAUCAACAAUUCAAGUGAAGAAAAUAACAUUUAAAGUAUAUUUUAAUGUAUAUUCUUCCAGUAUUUGAUAAGGCGUAACUGUGGUGUUCUGAAUGGGUUCUAAGGCAUCACUAGGUGGUUGUUUACCGGCCCAAGAGUGUCCAUAUCUCUGAUAUUUUGGACACUAGAUAUGGCUUGUGUCCUUUCUUCAAUGCAUGUCAAGGUGUUUUUCU